rnacentral:rRNA from 1 species
UACGUAGGGUGCAAGCGUUAAUCGGAAUUACUGGGCGUAAAGCGUGCGCAGGCGGCUUUGCAAGUGACGGGUGAAAUCCCUCGGCUUAACCGAGGAACUGCCUGUCAAACUGCAUGGCUUGAGACCGGGAGAGGUGAGUGGAAUUCCCAGUGUAGCGGUGAAAUGCGUAGAUAUUGGGAGGAACACCAGUGGCGAAGGCGGCUCACUGGACCGGUACUGACGCUGAUGCGCGAAAGCGUGGGGAGCAAACAGG